AUUGAACGCUGGCGGCAUGCCUUACACAUGCAAGUCGAACGGUAACAGGUUAAGCUGACGAGUGGCGAACGGGUGAGUAAUGUAUCGGAACGUGCCCAGUCGUGAGGGAUAACUGCUCGAAAGAGCAGCUAAUACCGCAUACGACCUGAGGGUGAAAGCGGGGGAUCGCAAGACCUCGCGCGAUUGGAGCGGCCGAUAUCAGAUUAGGUAGUUGGUGAGGUAAAGGCUCACCAAGCCGACGAUCUGUAGCUGGUCUGAGAGGACGACCAGCCACACUGGGACUGAGACACGGCCCAGACUCCUACGGGAGGCAGCAGUGGGGAAUUUUGGACAAUGGGCGCAAGCCUGAUCCAGCCAUGCCGCGUGCGGGAAGAAGGCCUUCGGGUUGUAAACCGCUUUUGUCAGGGAAGAAAAGGUUCUGGCUAAUACCUGGGACUCAUGACGGUACCUGAAGAAUAAGCACCGGCUAACUACGUG
rnacentral:rRNA from 1 species